GGGAUGGAAACAGAAGCAGAGACAAAGAAUUCAGAGAAAGUGCUGGAGAAAGAGGAAGAGAGAAGAAGAGGGAGUUAUGAGGUCGAGAUAGCAGUGUGCUUGCGGUUUGAUAGUGCUGCUUCUGUUACUAUAUGCACAGUAAGCUCUAAAAGGGAGGUGGUUUGCCGGAAAAUGAUCACUGCAAUGCUUGUGGUUCCAUAGGACUACGAGCAGAGCCGAAGUUUUCACUCAACUCUUUGUCUCUUUAGGGUGCAUGGUAUGCUUUCAGUGUCCCGUGAUACCACCCCCACUACACUUUUACUUGCAUGUAAAUGAGAAUUAUCUGCUUACCAACCCCUGCUCCGAUCGUUGUGCCGCCAACUUCAUCGGAAACAGCCUGUUCCGCACUAAAGACAUCAAUUUGUCAUGAACGUACUAUAUGGGUAUAAUUGGCUCUACAUGUUUCUUAAAAAGUCCAUUUGUGGCUGUGGUGAUGCUGCUUUUGGUGGUUGUGAUGGUGACGAUGGUGGCGUGAUAGCAGUGAAUAGGUCUAAAUAAAUUGAGACCGGAUCGCAUCAUGAAUUAUGCACAGCAAUAUGAAGUGUAUAAGUGAUUUUGACGUCCAUGUCAUCAUAUUGAUGA